GAUGAACCCUUGCGACAGGCUUAACACAUGCAAGUCGAGGGGCAGCGGGGGUAGCAAUACCCGCCGGCGACCGGCGCACGGGUGAGUAACGCGUAUGCAACUGACCUAUCAGAGGGGGAUAACCCGGCGAAAGUCGGACUAAUACCGCAUGAAGCAGGGAUCCCGCAUGGGAAUAUUUGCUAAAGAUUCAUCGCUGAUAGAUAGGCAUGCGUUCCAUUAGGCAGUUGGCGGGGUAACGGCCCACCAAACCGACGAUGGAUAGGGGUUCUGAGAGGAAGGUCCCCCACAUUGGUACUGAGACACGGACCAAACUCCUACGGGAGGCAGCAGUGAGGAAUAUUGGUCAAUGGCCGAGAGGCUGAACCAGCCAAGUCGCGUGAGGGAUGAAGGUUCUAUGGAUCGUAAACCUCUUUUAUAAGGGAAUAAAGUGCGGGACGUGUCCCGUUUUGUAUGUACCUUAUGAAUAAGGAUCGGCUAACUCCGUGCCAGCAGCCGCGGUAAUACGGAGGAUCCGAGCGUUAUCCGGAUUUAUUGGGUUUAAAGGGCGCGUAGGCGGCCUUUUAAGUCAGCGGUGAAAGUCUGUGGCUCAACCAUAGAAUUGCCGUUGAAACUGGGGGGCUUGAGUAUGUUUGAGGCAGGCGGAAUGCGUGGUGUAGCGGUGAAAUGCAUAGAUAUCACGCAGAACCCCGAUUGCGAAGGCAGCCUGCCAAGCCAUGACUGACGCUGAUGCACGAAAGCGUGGGGAUCAAACAGGAUUAGAUACCCUGGUAGUCCACGCAGUAACGGAUGAUCACUAGCUGUUUGCGAUACACCGUAAGGGGCACAGCGAAAGCGUUAAGUGAUCCACCUGGGGGAGUACGCCGGCAACGGUGAAACUCAAAGGAAUUGACGGGGGCCCGCACAAGCGGAGGAACAUGUGGUUUAAUUCGAUGAUACGCGAGGAACCUUACCCGGGUUUGAACGCAUUCGGACCGAGGUGGAAACACCUUUUCUAGCAAUAGCCGUUUGCGAGGUGCUGCAUGGUUGUCGUCAGCUCGUGCCGUGAGGUGUCGGCUUAAGUGCCAUAACGAGCGCAACCCUUGCCACUAGUUACUAACAGGUAAAGCUGAGGACUCUGGUGGGACUGCCAGCGUAAGCUGCGAGGAAGGCGGGGAUGACGUCAAAUCAGCACGGCCCUUACAUCCGGGGCGACACACGUGUUACAAUGGCGUGGACAAAGGGAAGCCACCUGGCGACAGGGAGCGAAUCCCCAAACCACGUCUCAGUUCGGAUCGGAGUCUGCAACCCGACUCCGUGAAGCUGGAUUCGCUAGUAAUCGCGCAUCAGCCAUGGCGCGGUGAAUACGUUCCCGGGCCUUGCACA
rnacentral:rRNA from 1 species